rnacentral:rRNA from 1 species
GAAAUACUCCCCGGAUACCCACGGUAAUUCUGCGGCUAAUACGUAGUACAUUCGGCUCCGGGUCGCCGCAGGGUGACCUAGCCGGACUCGCCCCCCCGCCCGGCUUCUAACCGAGCGUGAGCGCAGGCGAGCUUACCUUACCGCGGGGAAUCCCCCAUGGAGAGUGUGACGGGCUUCAGACCUAUCAACUAGACGGCCGGGGAUAGCCCGGCCGUGGUUAUAACGGGUACAGAGGAUCAGGGUUCGGUCCUGGAGAGGUAGCCUGAGAGAUCGCUACUACUUCUAAGGAAGGCAGCAGGCGCGCAACGUUCCCAAUGGGGAUACCCUGAGGACGUGAAGGGACAUAUCAAUGCCCGGCCCUUAAAGCCGGGCAAUUGGAAUGGGGGCCAUUUAAACCCCACACCGAGUAACAAUUGGAGGACAAGU